CCAGAACCAACCCCAGCCCAGCCAUUUCCAGUCUGGAUUCCGGGUGGGGGAGGGGAGGGUGACAUCACCCAGCCCUGUGUCUGGCAGGUGGAGACUGUACCAUGUGUCAGGCCUCCCCUGCUGGCCAUAUGUCCUGGUCACCUUGAGCCAGGCUGCUUGUGAAGCAGUGGGGAUGGUAGCACCCACUUUGCCAGGCAAGGUUGGGAAAUGCACUGAGAUCCUGAAUAAUAACACCACUUGCCACCCGUUUUGUGCUCUGUUGCUCACUUAGCCUUGUCCGCUCUCCCAGUGACCAUACAAGGCUCUGGCUGUGGUAACACCUGCUAUACUGCAAAGGAUGCAGGCUGAAGGGACAAAGGAGUCGAUGAUCUGAAUGGCAGAGCGCCUGGGAUCCUGCAUCACCAGGGACAUUGAAUUCCCGGAUCACCAGGUGAAACUGGUCUGACUCCUGCUACCUGCCGCACCCACGACCCCCUGUCCCUUGUCUGGGGGGAGGUGGGCCAAGUGGGCCCCAGGCUCUCAGUGAAAAGCGC
ensembl:lncRNA